CACGGGUGAGUAACACGUGGAUGAUCUACCCAUCAGUUCGGAAUAACAGUUGGAAACGACUGCUAAUACCGGAUACGAUCUUUUUCGCGAUUAGGUGAAAGGCGGCCUCUGCUUGCAAGCUGUCGCUGAUGGAUGAGUCCGCGUCUCAUUAGGUAGUUGGUAGGGUAACGGCCUACCAAGCCGAUGAUGAGUAGCCGGCCUGAGAGGGUAAUCGGCCACACUGGGACUGGAACACGGCCCAG
rnacentral:rRNA from 1 species